rnacentral:lncRNA from 1 species
GAAUAAAGACCUAAAACUGAUUUUUUUCUGUAUUAUGGAGACAAAAAUGUCCAGGUUGGGGCUAGUGAGAUGGCCCACUGGGUAAAAGUGAUUAUUUCCAGGCCUGCUGACCUAGGACCCACAUGGUUGGUAGCAGGGAAUAAUUGACUCCUGCAAAUUGUCUUGUGAUUCCUCGACACAAACACAAAAAAAUAAGUGUAAUUUUUAAGAUUUUAAAAUAAUAUUUCCAGACCUGGCACAAGAGAGAGAGAGAAGAUAGAAAGUAAGGUCAAGAGGACCAUGGAGGUAGGGUUUAGGGUACCAGAAGGUUCAGUUCACUGUAGAACCAUACAAGGGAUUUUAGAGUUUAUGCUCAGUGUAAUUUAACAACUAGAGGAUCGCAGAGGAUCACUGUCCCCUCUACCUGUCUGUCCUCCGUGCCCUUGUCUUGCCUGGCAUUUGUGGGAAGCCACUGCAGCUGGAGAUUCAGCAUGGAAAGAAGGUAGCUCCAUCCAUCACCGAAAGUAUGGAAAGAAAAGCAUGGGUGAGCCCUAUGCCGCAUAGCCACUGGCCCUGUCUUGUUGUGAUUCUGGUUUCUAUAUUUCCAGGUGUGUAGUGUUCCUGAUGAUGUCUGCAUCUUGGAGGCCCACAGGUUGCAGCAGCAGCCCCGGAGCUUUUGACUGCCCAGGGACACCUUCUAUGUCAGGAAUCAAUCCAACUAAUUUGCACUCCCAUAAGGUUAGAGAUUGGCCUCCAUUCUCCAUCUUUAAAUGCCCUGGCAGCUAGCAGAGACCCACAGACAACAGGGAUGAAGGCAGUGCAGAUGGAGGACACCUUCCCCAUGUUGGUUCUUGUAGGGUGUUGUGGAAUGAUUUUCAGAAAAUCCAUGGUAGAAAACUUAAAGUCUUCCCAUCGAUGUUGGUAAGAAUUGUGAUACAUUUGGUCCAACACCUUCUGAAUCCUCUACUAUUUUAGUGG